rnacentral:tRNA from 1 species
GGAGUCGUAGUUCAGUUGGUUUAGAACGCUGGCCUGUCACGCCGGAGGUCGCGAGUUCGAGCCUCGUCGGCUCCGCCA